AUGAUCUGUCAGGUUUGCAUGAUGAAAAAGCAAAUGUUCAGAGGGUACUACCUUCUCGACAUCUUCAAGUGCAGAGAGAAGAAGACUGACAAUGAGGAGAGAAAGCAGCAAAGAGUUGAAACAGCACUCACGACAGUCUGGGCAGUUCAGGCGACCUGCAUGGCUGCUACAAAGAUCAGUACCACAAGUGAAAAUCCACACGAGAGUUCGGGCUAUCAAGAUGAAAAAACAGCUGAAAGAACAACAGCCCUGCCUGAUGGACUGGGGUCAGGUGUUGGCAAGAACGGAAGAAAAUGUGACCAUGAUGCUUUCAACUGA
rnacentral:rRNA from 1 species